rnacentral:tRNA from 1 species
GCCAUUGUGGGGUAGUGGUUGACCAUUGGAGUAUGACUCUGGAGACCAGGGUUCGAAUCCCGGCUUGGCC